rnacentral:lncRNA from 1 species
AGCUAAACUCUUGAAACGAGACGACAGAUAAAAUGUUACUUAAUAAAUACACAAUUGUGAUAGAGAAUAAGAAGCUGACGUCUGAUUUCUCCAAGCGGUCAUAUUUAACAUGAUUACUGUGUAACGUUAAUGUUUAGCGUGCAUAGUCUUUUACAUCGCUUAUAAAUAUUUCUGCCUUGUUUAGUGAUUAUAAUCCACAUCGGAUCAAGUUAUUUCAAACACUUGCUGCUAACUAAGAGUGAGUUUUGAGCUCAACUUAUUUUAAAACGUCGUUAAUGCUGCUGUUAAAGCUGUUAUCUUUUUGAAAUGAUCCGCGCUGACGCUCUCCAGACACGGAGAAACUCCGCCUUUGUUCAUAACCCCUCCUCUAGCCCCAGCUGGCCCGCUUUGGCCCAAGGAUUUCGUCGGGCCAAAAAACCCUGGCCUUUGGCCCCGAGGAAGCCCCGGCGAGGCACGAUCAAGCCCCGGAAGUGACAGUGGAAACGCGACUGGCCCUGGCACGCACUAGCACGCCCGGUCUUAGCUCGAUAGUGGAAAAACGGCUAUUCUGACCAAUGUGUUACACUUGAACUUGAAGAUGACCAAGCACUCUGGCCAAAACAUCUCACUGACAAAGAGCGCUGCUCAAUAGUGCAGAGAGGCCCAGUUCAGAGCAAGGAUAUAAUUUAUCCUUUUUAUUUUUCUUCUUUUUUUCUUACUGAUACAACUCCAGAUGUCUAUACAUCAUUGCUGUGUGAAGACUGCUGAAGAGAAGUAACAAGUAGGGCUUUUUUUUUUUUAAAUAAGGAUUGACAAAAGGAGGGAAACAAGAGAUGUAGAGGGCCCCAUGUCUGUGUUUACCUUGGGCCCCAAAAUGUCUAAAUCCGCCCCUGACUCUGAGGCAAUUGAAGCCUCCAAGAAAGUUUUGUUUGAGCUCUGUCCGGGAACCUCGCAGAGAUGUGUUGCAUACAAAGGGCAGCACAAAGACGCCAACAACAUAAAACUCUGCCUUAAAGUACUGAAUGAAUGUGGGUCUAAUAUCCCUAGAUUUGUUUCCUAUUACUUGGAUGAGCUCCCUCCGGUAACAUUCUCGAGUCUAGAUGUCUCCUGUUUGCUUCGGAGAAUGGAGCAGCUUUGUGCUGAAGUGGGAGCUCUAAAACACAUAACCCAGCUCCAGACGGGUGUUUGUGAACAAGUUCGUGCUGAAGCUGUGGAAAUCAACCACCGGGUAUCUGUUCUGGAGUGUAGAUCUGUAAUGAUAUUGGUGAAAUGUACACUCCUGAGCUCUGGCCAGAAGGAGCUCUAAUAAGGCGUUUUUAUGAGCUACGUAAGGCCAGUGUUGUUGGUUUUUGUCGUGUGUCGUCCGAAAGGGAGGUAAAUGGGCACUCUGGUGUUGACCCGUC